CGGCCGAAGCGGCGAAGGCGGCAGCGGCGGCGACAGCUCUGGGGUUCGCGUCUCGGGGUGUGUCGGCCGCCGCUGCUGCUCAGGCCUGGAAUGUACAGAUGGCUGACUAAGGUUCUCGGCACCAUUCUUCGCUUGUGUGAGCGGCCCGCGCCCGGGGCCCGCGCCCUGCUCAAGAGGCGGCGCUCCAGCAGCUCUCUGUUUUCUACUGCAGUGGACACUGAUGAAAUCCCAGCUAAAAGACCAAGACUAGAUUGCUUCAUUCACCAAGUGAAGAACAGUCUCUACAAUGCGGCCAGCUUAUUUGGAUUCCCAUUCCAGCUGACCACCAAACCCAUGGUGUCUUCUGCUUGUAAUGGAACACGGAAUGUGGCCCCUUCAGGAGAGUUUUACAUUGAAAUCAGAAGGCUAUAAUAGAAGACCAAGUGGCCGUCGCCAUAGCAAAAGCAAUCCAGAGAGUUCCUUACCGUGGAAACCUCAGGAGCAAGGUGUAACAGAGAUGAUUUCUGAAGAGGGUGGCAAGGGUGCGAGGCGUCCCCAUUGCACCGUGGAGGAGGGUGUCCAAAAGGACGAAAGAGAAAAAUACCUAAAGUUAUUGGAGCGUCUUAAAGAGGGUGCUCACGGAAGCACUUUUCCUCCUGCAGUUUCACAUCAUAGUUCUCAGAGAACGCAGAUGGACACAUUAAAGACCAAAGGCUGGAUGGAAGAACAGAAUCAUGGAGUCAGAACAACCCAUUUGGUUCCCAAACAGUAUAGAGUUGUUGAAACAAGAGGACCUCUCUGUUCAGUGAGAAGUGAAAAGAGGAAGGCUGACCCUGUUAAACAUUGCCUAGUCUCCAGGCCCUUGGAAAUCAGGUAUUCAAAAGGAAAAGCUGACACAGAGAAGGUGGUGGGACUCCGAUUUGAAAAGGAC
rnacentral:lncRNA from 1 species